rnacentral:lncRNA from 1 species
CGUAAGCAACAAAGAGGAGUUGAAGAAGUUGCCCUAGAUUUGCUUCCCGCGCCACACCGCACAGAAUCCUCCCCUCGCUUCGCUUUCACGCCUUAAAGGCAACGUUGUUUCCCGCCACAAACACACCCUUUAAAAAGCCCUUGCAUCCAUUUUUCUUACACCCCAUUCAUUCUCUCUCUCUCUUAUUCUCACGAUUCUUUUCCAAAACAACCAGCCAUUAUGGGCACAACAAGUCCACAACACCCAAACAGAAGAAGCCCGAGAUUGUUCCACAAGUUCCUCAAACCAGGAGCACUCGCCAAACUCAGAGACUCCAAAAUCACUUCUUCCAGACACAAAAUUAAUCGAAGAAUAACACAAAUUUCUCUUUCUCACCUCUUAUUAUCAUCAUCACCCUCUUCUUCUUCUUCUUCUUCUUCUUCUUCUUCCAUCCAACAGGAUCAGCCACUGAACCAAGAUAAUGGGAUUCCGUGCUUUACUCCCCCGAUCUAUCCCAAUCGGCCCCGUUGUCUCGUCCGGAAGAAACUCUUCGCGGUAACUCCCAAUUUUACUCACCCCGAGACAUACCAGUUCUAGUUAUUAUUAUAAACUCUUUUAUUUGUCUUCGAUUCCUACGUAUAAUAAUAAUUAAAAAAAAAUACAAUUACGGUUGUUGUGGAUUAUUGCGAUCUGCGAUCUGUAUCCCUGGGGGUCGAACAUAUGAAACAGAUUUUGUUUAACUGUAAUUCAUAUGCAAUCUUUUUUUACCUCCAAGAUAAUAAAUGAAGGAUACAACAACAACGGUUUCUUUCAGUUUUCAGUUUCUUAUUCCUUCGUCUUAGUUAUGUUUGUGUAUGUUAUCGAUCACGCGUGUAGGCUUAAUUAUUAUUUAUUUCUAUGAGUAAUUGAAUAGAUCCACGUGUGUUGAAGAUCAAUCGAUGUUUCGUGAAUUGAGUUUAGAGGGAACGAAUCGGGGAGCGAUCCAUGUUUGGGUUUGUGAUUUACAUUGCCGCGUGAGAAUCUGGCCAUAAUUAAUGCAUUUAUUGUGCUUACGAACUCGUGUCUGCUGUUAAUUUCAUUGUGGGGGAAUCCUGAGAAAUAAACACUGGGAAAUAAUUGUGAAUCGAGUUCCUUGGAUCUUCUUUAAUGGAAUGAUUACUUUUAAUUUUUUGUUAAUUUGUGGUUUGGGAGAAGGAAACGGUAUAUAUCCUGUAAAACCCAUAUGCUUAUCAAUAUUAGCAUGCUGUUGGGUGAAGAUGCUAACUAACUAAUAAGAAGAGAAUUAAGUGUCGUUAAUGAGAAAAGUGAGAGGUGUGCAUCACAGUCCUUAACCAAAUCAGAGUAAUAGGAUUAUACGCUAACGAAUUGAUCCAAUAUUCAUGGUCUUGGUUGAAGGCAAGAGUGGUUGAUUUCAAAGCUUCCUUUUGAGUGGUACACUAAUCCAACUCUCUGAGGGGUUGUUGGGCUCACUUUCCCUUUUUUUCGAUGCUGGUAUCCCAGUAAUCAGUGUUUAUGUAUGUUUCGAUUAAUAAAAUUGUUUUGUUGGAGGAUAAAAAAAAAUUGAUAGAGGUAAUAACAUGAUAAACCUUACUCAAAUUUCUUGCUCUUUAUUGUAUGCAAUUUUUUUUCUUCUUCUAACACUCUGGUGAUCUUUCAUAUACUUCAUGUUUCUUGUGUUUGCAGCACUUUCUGGUGAUCUAUAG